ensembl:snRNA U6 U6 spliceosomal RNA
GUGCUCACUUCCACAGCACAUUUACUAAAACUAGAACAAUACAGAGAAGAUUAGCAUGACCCCUGCACAAGGAUGACACUCAAAUUUGUGAAUCGUUCUAUUAAAAA